UACGGGGGGGGCAAGCGUUGUUCGGAAUUACUGGGCGUAAAGGGCUCGUAGGCGGCUAACUAAGUCAGACGUGAAAUCCCUCGGCUUAACCGGGGAACUGCGUCUGAUACUGGAUGGCUUGAGUUCGGGAGAGGGGUGCGGAAUUCCAGGUGUAGCGGUGAAAUGCGUAGAUAUCUGGAGGAACACCGGUGGCGAAGGCGGCAUCCUGGACCGAUACUGACGCUGAGGAGCGAAAGCCAGGGGAGCAAACGGG
rnacentral:rRNA from 1 species